GACUGGGAUAAACAACAUACAUCACUGAGAAAAUUACAACUUGCAGCAGUCGUGCGGACGAUUAAUCGAGAUGACAACCACAGCAGCAGCAGCAGGAAACGAGUGAAUAAAAAUAAGAUUUCCUCUGGAAAAGAAGAGCUGUUAAGUCGGUGGGUAGCCAAUAUGAGGUGAGAUAAGUGGCAGACAACUCAAUAUAGUUACAUAUUUUCGUUUCAUUUUGAAGAUAGAUACAUGUAUAGUACAAACGAGAAAAGGCGACUUCUGGCAAACGCAGUACCGAUAAUAUUUACGUUUGCUGACCAUCUGCAGAAAACAACCAUAGUAUAGAGACAACCAAGGAAACGGCCUGUCAGUGAGAAGUCAGUUUCCUUAUCAAAUGAACCAGGUGAAAGAGUGAAUCAGAAUGAUCAUACAGACCAUUCUUAUUGUUUGCCUAGCCCCAAAAAAUUGAAACAGAAUUAUGAGACACUACAGAAAAGGACUGAGAAGCUGAGGAAGCAAGCGGAACAUGCAAGGCAAGGUGUUUCAAGAAAGAAGAAACAAAAUGUGACAUAUGAAACAGUGGUUGUACGCCUAAAUAAGAGACUUCGAGACUGUGUUUCUGAAGUGAUAGGAUGUGACAAAAAAUAGUGAUAUUCUGAAGCACUUUUUGGAAUGCAAAACGAAUGUUCAAUUCCUGAAUAUCCUAAAGAAAUAAGACAGUUUGCCCUUACACUCAAUUUGUACUCCUUCAAAGUUUAUAAUUAUUUGCAGAAGUCUGUUAAAUUACCCCGUCCUACGCUGUCAAUUGGUCGUUUUUGGACCUACUGAUUUAAAAUUGUUUUUGACCUAAUCUAUAUGGCAUUGCAGCGAAAUGAACUGCAACAUUUCGUAAUAAACUUUUCAAUUAAUCGAUGUCAGAA